GGUUAAGCGACUAAGCGUACACGGUGGAUGCCCUGGCAGUCAGAGGCGAUGAAGGACGUGCUAAUCUGCGAAAAGCGUCGGUAAGGUGAUAUGAACCGUUAUAACCGGCGAUGUCCGAAUGGGGAAACCCAGUGCAAUUCGUUGCACUAUCGUUAACUGAAUACAUAGGUUAACGAGGCGAACCGGGGGAACUGAAACAUCUAAGUACCCCGAGGAAAAGAAAUCAACCGAGAUUCCCCCAGUAGCGGCGAGCGAACGGGGAGCAGCCCAGAGUCUGAAUCAGCUUGUGUGUUAGUGGAACGGUCUGGAAAGUCCGACGGUACAGGGUGAUAGUCCCGUACACCAAAAUGCACAGGUUGUGAACUCGAAGAGUAGGGCGGGACACGUGGUAUCCUGUCUGAAUAUGGGGGGACCAUCCUCCAAGGCUAAAUACUCCUGACUGACCGAUAGUGAACCAGUACCGUGAGGGAAAGGCGAAAAGAACCCCGGCGAGGGGAGUGAAAAAGAACCUGAAACCGUGUACGUACAAGCAGUGGGAGCACCUUCGGGUGUGACUGCGUACCUUUUGUAUAAUGGGUCAGCGACUUAUAUUCUGUAGCAAGGUUAACCGUAUAGGGGAGCCGCAGGGAAACCGAGUCUUAACUGGGCGUUAAGUUGCAGGGUAUAGACCCGAAACCCGGUGAUCUAGCCAUGGGCAGGUUGAAGGUUGGGUAACACUAACUGGAGGACCGAACCGACUAAUGUUGAAAAAUUAGCGGAUGACUUGUGGCUGGGGGUGAAAGGCCAAUCAAACCGGGAGAUAGCUGGUUCUCCCCGAAAGCUAUUUAGGUAGCGCCUCGUGAACUCAUCUUCGGGGGUAGAGCACUGUUUCGGCUAGGGGGUCAUCCCGACUUACCAACCCGAUGCAAACUACGAAUACCGAAGAAUGUUAUCACGGGAGACACACGGCGGGUGCUAACGUCCGUCGUGAAGAGGGAAACAACCCAGACCGCCAGCUAAGGUCCCAAAGUCAUGGUUAAGUGGGAAACGAUGUGGGAAGGCACAGACAGCCAGGAUGUUGGCUUAGAAGCAGCCAUCAUUUAAAGAAAGCGUAAUAGCUCACUGGUCGAGUCGGCCUGCGCGGAAGAUGUAACGGGGCUAAACCAUGCACCGAAGCUGCGGCAGCGACACUAUGUGUUGUUGGGUAGGGGAGCGUUCUGUAAGCCUGCGAAGGUGACCUGUGAGGGUUGCUGGAGGUAUCAGAAGUGCGAAUGCUGACAUAAGUAACGAUAAAGCGGGUGAAAAGCCCGCUCGCCGGAAGACCAAGGGUUCCUGUCCAACGUUAAUCGGGGCAGGGUGAGUCGACCCCUAAGGCGAGGCCGAAAGGCGUAGUCGAUGGGAAACAGGUUAAUAUUCCUGUACUUGGUGUUACUGCGAAGGGGGGACGGAGAAGGCUAUGUUAGCCGGGCGACGGUUGUCCCGGUUUAAGCAUGUAGGCUGAUUGUCCAGGCAAAUCCGGAUAAUCAAGGCUGAGGUGUGAUGACGAGGCACUACGGUGCUGAAGUAACAAAUGCCCUGCUUCCAGGAAAAGCCUCUAAGCAUCAGGUAACAUCAAAUCGUACCCCAAACCGACACAGGUGGUCAGGUAGAGAAUACCAAGGCGCUUGAGAGAACUCGGGUGAAGGAACUAGGCAAAAUGGUGCCGUAACUUCGGGAGAAGGCACGCUGGUGUGUAGGUGAAGCCCCUGCGGGUGGAGCUGAGACCAGUCGAAGAUACCAGCUGGCUGCAACUGUUUAUUAAAAACACAGCACUGUGCAAACACGAAAGUGGACGUAUACGGUGUGACGCCUGCCCGGUGCCGGAAGGUUAAUUGAUGGGGUUAUCCGUAAGGAGAAGCUCUUGAUCGAAGCCCCGGUAAACGGCGGCCGUAACUAUAACGGUCCUAAGGUAGCGAAAUUCCUUGUCGGGUAAGUUCCGACCUGCACGAAUGGCGUAAUGAUGGCCAGGCUGUCUCCACCCGAGACUCAGUGAAAUUGAACUCGCUGUGAAGAUGCAGUGUACCCGCGGCAAGACGGAAAGACCCCGUGAACCUUUACUAUAGCUUGACACUGAACAUUGAGCCUUGAUGUGUAGGAUAGGUGGGAGGCUUUGAAGCGUGGACGCCAGUCUGCGUGGAGCCAACCUUGAAAUACCACCCUUUAAUGUUUGAUGUUCUAACGUUGGCCCCUGACCGGGGUUGCGGACAGUGUCUGGUGGGUAGUUUGACUGGGGCGGUCUCCUCCCAAAGCGUAACGGAGGAGCACGAAGGUUAGCUAAUCCUGGUCGGACAUCAGGAGGUUAGUGCAAUGGCAUAAGCUAGCUUGACUGCGAGCGUGACGGCGCGAGCAGGUGCGAAAGCAGGUCAUAGUGAUCCGGUGGUUCUGAAUGGAAGGGCCAUCGCUCAACGGAUAAAAGGUACUCCGGGGAUAACAGGCUGAUACCGCCCAAGAGUUCAUAUCGACGGCGGUGUUUGGCACCUCGAUGUCGGCUCAUCACAUCCUGGGGCUGAAGUAGGUCCCAAGGGUAUGGCUGUUCGCCAUUUAAAGUGGUACGCGAGCUGGGUUUAGAACGUCGUGAGACAGUUCGGUCCCUAUCUGCCGUGGGCGCUGGAGAAUUGAGGGGGGCUGCUCCUAGUACGAGAGGACCGGAGUGGACGCAUCACUGGUGUUCGGGUUGUCAUGCCAAUGGCACUGCCCGGUAGCUAAAUGCGGAAGAGAUAAGUGCUGAAAGCAUCUAAGCACGAAACUUGCCCCGAGAUGAGUUCUCCCUGAGACUUUAAGUCUCCUGAAGGAACGUU
rnacentral:rRNA from 1 species